rnacentral:rRNA from 1 species
UAACACAUGCAAGUCGAACGGAAAGGCCCUGCUUUUGUGGGGUGCUCGAGUGGCGAACGGGUGAGUAACACGUGAGUAACCUGCCCUUGACUUUGGGAUAACUUCAGGAAACUGGGGCUAAUACCGGAUAGGAGCUCCUGCUGCAUGGUGGGGGUUGGAAAGUUUCGGCGGUUGGGGAUGGACUCGCGGCUUAUCAGCUUGUUGGUGGGGUAGUGGCUUACCAAGGCUUUGACGGGUAGCCGGCCUGAGAGGGUGACCGGCCACAUUGGGACUGAGAUACGGCCCAGACUCCUACGGGAGGCAGCAGUGGGGAAUAUUGCACAAUGGGCGGAAGCCUGAUGCAGCAACGCCGCGUGCGGGAUGACGGCCUUCGGGUUGUAAACCGCUUUCGCCUGUGACGAAGCGUGAGUGACGGUAAUGGGUAAAGAAGCACCGGCUAACUACGUGCCAGCAGCCGCGGUGAUACGUAGGGUGCGAGCGUUGUCCGGAUUUAUUGGGCGUAAAGGGCUCGUAGGUGGUUGAUCGCGUCGGAAGUGUAAUCUUGGGGCUUAACCCUGAGCGUGCUUUCGAUACGGGUUGACUUGAGGAAGGUAGGGGAGAAUGGAAUUCCUGGUGGGGCGGUGGAAUGCGCAGAUAUCAGGAGGAACACCAGUGGCGAAGGCGGUUCUCUGGGCCUUUCCUGACGCUGAGGAGCGAAAGCGUGGGGAGCGAACAGGCUUAGAUACCCUGGUAGUCCACGCUGUAAACGGUGGGUACUAGGUGUGGGGUCCAUUCCACGGGUUCCGUGCCGUAGCUAACGCUUUAAGUACCCCGCCUGGGGAGUACGGCCGCAAGGCUAAAACUCAAAGGAAUUGACGGGGCCCCGCGCAAGCGGCGGAGCAUGCGGAUUAAUUCGAUGCAACGCGUAGAACCUUACCUGGGUUUGACAUGGAUCGGGAGUGCUCAGAGAUGGGUGUGCCUCUUUUGGGGUCGGUUCACAGGUGGUGCAUGGCUGUCGUCAGCUCGUGUCGUGAGAUGUUGGGUUAAGUCCCGCAACGAGCGCAACCCUUGUUCACUGUUGCCAGCACGUUAUGGUGGGGACUCAGUGGAGACCGCCGGGGUCAACUCGGAGGAAGGUGGGGAUGACGUCAAGUCAUCAUGCCCCUUAUGUCCAGGGCUUCACGCAUGCUACAAUGGCUGGUACAGAGAGUGGCGAGCCUGUGAGGGUGAGCGAAUCUCGGAAAGCCGGUCUCAGUUCGGAUUGGGGUCUGCAACUCGACCUCAUGAAGUCGGAGUCGCUAGUAAUCGCAGAUCAGCAACGCUGCGGUGAAUACGUUCCCGGGGCUUGUACACACCGCCCGUCAAGUCAUGAAAGUUGGUAACACCCGAAGCCGGUGGCCUAACCGUUGUGGGGGAGCCGUCGAAGGUGGGACUGGUGAUUAGGACUAAGU